UUAAGCGACUAAGCGUACACGGUGGAUGCCCUGGCAGUCAGAGGCGAUGAAGGACGUGCUAAUCUGCGAAAAGCGUCGGUAAGGUGAUAUGAACCGUUACAGCCGGCGAUGUCCGAAUGGGGAAACCCAGUGCAAUUCGUUGCACUAUCGUUAACUGAAUACAUAGGUUAACGAGGCGAACCGGGGGAACUGAAACAUCUAAGUACCCCGAGGAAAAGAAAUCAACCGAGAUUCCCCCAGUAGCGGCGAGCGAACGGGGAGCAGCCCAGAGUCUGAAUCAGCUUGUGUGUUAGUGGAACGGUCUGGAAAGUCCGACGGUACAGGGUGAUAGUCCCGUACACCAAAAUGCACAGGCUGUGAACUCGAAGAGUAGGGCGGGACACGUGGUAUCCUGUCUGAAUAUGGGGGGACCAUCCUCCAAGGCUAAAUACUCCUGACUGACCGAUAGUGAACCAGUACCGUGAGGGAAAGGCGAAAAGAACCCCGGCGAGGGGAGUGAAAAAGAACCUGAAACCGUGUACGUACAAGCAGUGGGAGCACCUUCGGGUGUGACUGCGUACCUUUUGUAUAAUGGGUCAGCGACUUAUAUUCUGUAGCAAGGUUAACCGUAUAGGGGAGCCGCAGGGAAACCGAGUCUUAACUGGGCGUUAAGUUGCAGGGUAUAGACCCGAAACCCGGUGAUCUAGCCAUGGGCAGGUUGAAGGUUGGGUAACACUAACUGGAGGACCGAACCGACUAAUGUUGAAAAAUUAGCGGAUGACUUGUGGCUGGGGGUGAAAGGCCAAUCAAACCGGGAGAUAGCUGGUUCUCCCCGAAAGCUAUUUAGGUAGCGCCUCGUGAAUUCAUCUUCGGGGGUAGAGCACUGUUUCGGCUAGGGGGUCAUCCCGACUUACCAACCCGAUGCAAACUACGAAUACCGAAGAAUGUUAUCACGGGAGACACACGGCGGGUGCUAACGUCCGUCGUGAAGAGGGAAACAACCCAGACCGCCAGCUAAGGUCCCAAAGUCAUGGUUAAGUGGGAAACGAUGUGGGAAGGCACAGACAGCCAGGAUGUUGGCUUAGAAGCAGCCAUCAUUUAAAGAAAGCGUAAUAGCUCACUGGUCGAGUCGGCCUGCGCGGAAGAUGUAACGGGGCUAAACCAUGCACCGAAGCUGCGGCAGCGACACUAUGUGUUGUUGGGUAGGGGAGCGUUCUGUAAGCCUGCGAAGGUGUGCUGUGAGGCAUGCUGGAGGUAUCAGAAGUGCGAAUGCUGACAUAAGUAACGAUAAAGCGGGUGAAAAGCCCGCUCGCCGGAAGACCAAGGGUUCCUGUCCAACGUUAAUCGGGGCAGGGUGAGUCGACCCCUAAGGCGAGGCCGAAAGGCGUAGUCGAUGGGAAACAGGUUAAUAUUCCUGUACUUGGUGUUACUGCGAAGGGGGGACGGAGAAGGCUAUGUUAGCCGGGCGACGGUUGUCCCGGUUUAAGCAUGUAGGCUGAUUGUCCAGGCAAAUCCGGAUAAUCAAGGCUGAGGUGUGAUGACGAGGCACUACGGUGCUGAAGUAACAAAUGCCCUGCUUCCAGGAAAAGCCUCUAAGCAUCAGGUAACAUUAAAUCGUACCCCAAACCGACACAGGUGGUCAGGUAGAGAAUACCAAGGCGCUUGAGAGAACUCGGGUGAAGGAACUAGGCAAAAUGGUGCCGUAACUUCGGGAGAAGGCACGCUGGUGUGUAGGUGAAGCCCCUGCGGGUGGAGCUGAGACCAGUCGAAGAUACCAGCUGGCUGCAACUGUUUAUUAAAAACACAGCACUGUGCAAACACGAAAGUGGACGUAUACGGUGUGACGCCUGCCCGGUGCCGGAAGGUUAAUUGAUGGGGUUAUCCGUAAGGAGAAGCUCUUGAUCGAAGCCCCGGUAAACGGCGGCCGUAACUAUAACGGUCCUAAGGUAGCGAAAUUCCUUGUCGGGUAAGUUCCGACCUGCACGAAUGGCGUAAUGAUGGCCAGGCUGUCUCCACCCGAGACUCAGUGAAAUUGAACUCGCUGUGAAGAUGCAGUGUACCCGCGGCAAGACGGAAAGACCCCGUGAACCUUUACUAUAGCUUGACACUGAACAUUGAGCCUUGAUGUGUAGGAUAGGUGGGAGGCUUUGAAGCGUGGACGCCAGUCUGCGUGGAGCCAACCUUGAAAUACCACCCUUUAAUGUUUGAUGUUCUAACGUUGGCCCCUGACCGGGGUUGCGGACAGUGUCUGGUGGGUAGUUUGACUGGGGCGGUCUCCUCCCAAAGCGUAACGGAGGAGCACGAAGGUUAGCUAAUCCUGGUCGGACAUCAGGAGGUUAGUGCAAUGGCAUAAGCUAGCUUGACUGCGAGCGUGACGGCGCGAGCAGGUGCGAAAGCAGGUCAUAGUGAUCCGGUGGUUCUGAAUGGAAGGGCCAUCGCUCAACGGAUAAAAGGUACUCCGGGGAUAACAGGCUGAUACCGCCCAAGAGUUCAUAUCGACGGCGGUGUUUGGCACCUCGAUGUCGGCUCAUCACAUCCUGGGGCUGAAGUAGGUCCCAAGGGUAUGGCUGUUCGCCAUUUAAAGUGGUACGCGAGCUGGGUUUAGAACGUCGUGAGACAGUUCGGUCCCUAUCUGCCGUGGGCGCUGGAGAAUUGAGGGGGGCUGCUCCUAGUACGAGAGGACCGGAGUGGACGCAUCACUGGUGUUCGGGUUGUCAUGCCAAUGGCACUGCCCGGUAGCUAAAUGCGGAAGAGAUAAGUGCUGAAAGCAUCUAAGCACGAAACUUGCCCCGAGAUGAGUUCUCCCUGAGACUUUAAGUCUCCUGAAGGAACGUUAAAGACGAUGACGUUGAUAGGCCGGGUGUGUAAGCGCAGCGAUGCGUUGAGCUAACCGGUACUAAUGAACCGUGAGGCUUAACCUU
rnacentral:rRNA from 4 species